rnacentral:rRNA from 1 species
UACGUAGGGUGCAAGCGUUGUCCGGAAUUAUUGGGCGUAAAGAGCUCGUAGGCGGCUUGUCGCGUCGACUGUGAAAUCCCGCGGCUCAACCGCGGGUCUGCAGUCGAUACGGGCAGGCUAGAGUUCGGUAGGGGAGACUGGAAUUCCUGGUGUAGCGGUGAAAUGCGCAGAUAUCAGGAGGAACACCGAUGGCGAAGGCAGGUCUCUGGGCCGAUACUGACGCUGAGGUGCGAAAGCGUGGGGAGCAAACAGG